UACGUAGGGUGCGAGCGUUAAUCGGAAUUACUGGGCGUAAAGCGCACGCAGGCGGUCUUUUAAGUUUGACGUGAAAGCUCCCGGCUUAACUGGGAGAGGUCGUUGAAGACUGGAAGACUUGAGGCAAUGAGAGGGGUGUAGAAUUCCCGGUGUAGUGGUGGAAUGCGUAGAUAUCGGGGGGGAAUACCAGUGGCGAAAGCGGCACCCUAGCAUUAGCCUGACGCUCAUGUGCGAAAAGCGUGGGGAGCGAACGGGG
rnacentral:rRNA from 1 species